rnacentral:misc_RNA from 1 species
GAUGAAGAACGUAGCGAAAUGCGAUAAGUAAUGCGAAUUGCAGAAUUUCCGUGAGUCAUCGAAUCUUUGAACGCACAUUGCGCCCACUGGUAUUCCGGUGGGCAUGCCUGUUCGAGCGUCAUUAUCCUCCCUCAAACCCCGGGUUUGGUGUUGGACCCAAGUUGUGUGAACAACUGGUCUCAAAGACAAUGACGGCGUCCAUGGGACCCUCGGUGCAACGAGCUUUUAGGAGCACGCAUCGAGUUGCAAGGACCUUCCGGGCCGGUCUCCUUUACCAUUUUACAAGGUUGACCUCGGAUCAGGUAGGAAUACCCGCUGAACUUAAGCAUAUCAAUAAGCGGAGGA